CCUACGGGAGGCAGCAGUGAGGAAUAUUGGUCAAUGGGCGAGAGCCUGAACCAGCCAAGUCGCGUGAAGGAUGACGGCCCUACGGGUUGUAAACUUCUUUUGUCAGGGAGCAAUUGGGUCCACGCGUGGGCUUAGCGAGAGUACCUGAAUAAAAAGCAUCCGCCAACUCCGUGCCAGCAGCCGCGGUAAUACGGAGGAUGCGAGCGUUAUCCGGAUUUAUUGGGUUAAAAGGGAGCGUUGGCGGAAUAUCAAGUCAGCGGUAAAAAGUCGGGGCGCAACCCCGUCGUGCCGUUGAAACUGGUGUUCUGGAGUGGGCGAGAAGUAUGCGGAAUGCGUGGUGUAGCGGUGAAAUGCAUAGAUAUCACGCAGAACUCCAGUUGCGAAGGCGGCAUACCGGCGCACAACUGACGCUGAAGCACGAAAGCGUGGGUAUCGAACAGGAUUAGAUACCCCUGUAGUC
rnacentral:rRNA from 1 species